rnacentral:lncRNA from 1 species
CCUGCCCCUCGCCCCAGCAGCCGAAGCCUCAGUUCCAGUGCAGAAACAAAAUAAACCAUGAGAGGAAGUGCGGUUAAAAACACCCGGGACAUCAAGUUCUCAACAGCCUCGCUGGCUUUGUGCUGCGGCGCUCUAAGGGAAGGAUGGUGUGAGUAACCUGUGGGAACGGGGCGUGCUGCAGCAAGCAAGCGUUUCGCGCCGCGCUGCCAGGCCCCACCUGGCAUUGACGCAGAGAGCAUCGUCGCUGACACACAGAACGAGCUUCUCCCUCCGGGCGAGCCUCCCUCCUGCCAAGGGGCCCACGGGGACCACUACAAAGCUCAAUGCGCCCUUCUUCCUUCCUGCCUCUGCUCACAGUGCCCCAGGGCUCUCUUAGCUCUUGAAGCCGCGCUGCGGGUGCUGUGGGCAAGGCUGGCAUAGGGCGGUGGGGACCCUGCGACGACCCGUGGUCGCUCCCAGACAUCUACGACACCUGUAUGUGCGGGGGUCAGACUGAGCUGGGAUUUAUCCUACAAAGGCAUUUCUUUGUCCCCUGAGGCACGGAGCAGCAGAACUCGUGAAACGCCGAGCCAGGGAGAAGUCGGACAAUUACUCAGAUGUCACCAGGCUCUCACAUUACAGAUGGGCGUAGGCAAGGAACCACAGUGACGCUUUGCCGAGUGCCUGCAGCUAACAUGAUCUCCAACGUGCAGGUCAAGAAUGCAUUUCCCACAAGAGAAAACUGGCAGGGACUAUGACAUUUUUUCCUCAUUUUAAAAGCAGAAGCAAGGACCAGAACAAGAUGAGGUGGGAGUAUCUAUAUCAUAGGUUCCCAGUAAUCUCUGUCUAUUACUUUACUUUCACGGAGACCCUAGACACAAGGCUUCUCUGUGGAGACAGUCAACAAGUGCUCAAUUGGUGGCAAUUGUCAUGGGGAGCUUGUGAUGUGGAUACUCAGACCAUCAACAUAUUUCACAAGAGCCACUGAAAGGCCUUUCCUCUUCAGGUACAAGCAAGGCAAGCAGUGGUGGCUCCCACGUAUGACUGCUCAAGAAAUCCCUUUACAGCCAAUAGAGCAAGAGCUUCAAGAAAUAGCUUUGUUGGCAUUUGUUCCAUAUAGCCUAAUCUCCUUAGGGGCUGUGGCUACCAUCCCAAACAACAUUUCUAUGGCCUGCGUGGCUACAUCCUUUUCCUGUGAAUCAACAUUGGCAUCUGCUCAUCCAGCGCAUUCAGGAGAAAUAUUUGCUGUUGCCUGGAGACUAAAACAGGAGAAAAAGUAUCAGGAGUCCUAA